AUACCUUACUAGUGUUUGGGGUAUCCGUGAUCAUGUAAACGGUACCUCCAGGAAGUGACUGCCCGUUAAUGCUGUGGGGUAGUCAUCUUCCUGCGAUAAAACUGAAUUAUCGGACACUUAAUUUUUGAUAGCGGGACUGCGUUCACGCGGUCCUAU